rnacentral:rRNA from 1 species
CCUACGGGGGGCAGCAGUGGGGAAUAUUGGACAAUGGGGGGAACCCUGAUCCAGCGACGCCGCGUGAGUGAAGAAGUAUCUCGGUAUGUAAAGCUCUAUCAGCAGGGAAGAAAGAAAUGACGGUACCUGACUAAGAAGCCCCGGCUAACUACGUGCAAGCAGCCGCGGGAAUACGUAGGGGGCAAGCGUUAUCCGGAUUUACUGGGUGUAAAGGGAGCGUAGACGGCGAUGCAAGUCUGAAGUGAAAGGCGGGGGCCCAACCCCCGGACUGCUUUGGAAACUGUAUGGCUGGAGUGCAGGAGAGGUAAGUGGAAUUCCUAGUGUAGCGGUGAAAUGCGUAGAUAUUAGGAGGAACACCAGUGGCGAAGGCAGCUUACUGGACUGUAACUGACGUUGAGGCUCGAAAGCGUGGGGAGCAAACAGGAUUAGAUACCCCAGUAGUC